GGGUGCAGCUCAGCGGUGAAGCGCGUGCUUAGCAUGCACGAGGUCCUGGGUUCAAUCCCCAGUACACCCA
rnacentral:tRNA from 1 species